CAGGACCCCAGCUUCCAUCCUCACGUUGUGUGGACAUGGUCCAGCUUCCUGCCGCGGACCAUGAGCAAUCCAAGGGUAGGGGAGCCUCAAGAGGGAGACACUGAGCCUUUACGUAAUGAGGCAGGGAGGGGUUCAAGCAAUUAAUUGAGAAAGGAUGUGACAGGACUGGCACCUGGUCACUUUGUGGCCGUGAGCACCAGCUCCGCCUAUCCCCUCUGCAGGGCAGAAGGGACAGUGCUGCGGGAGGCGGAGGUGCUGUGGCUCUGGGAAGGCUGAAAAGGGACGGCUGCAAAGGAGAAGAGCUUCGAGUCCUUUCCAUCAGGAGAAAAACCCGGUCAGCUGUGGAGGAGCACUGCACAGGAGUCAGAAAGUGGAGUCUGGGCGUGACCUUGCACCUGACCAGCCUGGGGCUCUAGGUCCGCCACAUCUGGACUAAUCUCCUGUGUCCUGAGCUCCCAGGACCCCAGAGGCAAGCAUGGAGGGGCCACGCUGGCAGGUAAAGUUGAACCCACAGUGGCUUAGGACGAGCUCCUGCACAGCGGCCUGUUUCCCAAUUGCAUCGUGUAUCUCUUUGCCUCUCUUGGCUCAGCCAUGGCCCCAGCCCCAGGCCAUCCAAGGGGCAGCCUGGUGAGGUUUCUUCAACUUUGCUAAUGACUUGACCUACAGUCUUAAGUCAAGAAGGUGUCGCUCUCCUUUGUGAUGGCUGGACGCACAGGAGCUGUGGUCAGGAUGGGGCUAGAGGAGCUGAAAUCCCAGGGCAACAAGGGUAUUUAAAAACACAUCGCAGGAGAAACAGCUAAAGAGUCUUGGAACCAGGAAUCAUAAGCUGUUUGAUGGGAUGAACUAUCUUGGGAGUGAUGAGGUCCCCAUCACUGAAAGUAUUCAAGCAGAGAGAGUCAUGGAAUUAGGAGACGGAAGAGCAUCAGACACUGAAUGAAGUCUGCACUACAUGAGAUGAAGAACCCUUCCAGCCCUGAGGCCGAGCAGCCACUUCUCUGGAGCAGGCUGGCCCAUCUAUGUCCAGGAGGCCAGCCCCAGGCUAGCUUCUGAGCACGGGGAGCUAAGUCCUUCGCCUUCCAGAGACUGCACAAAGUGUGUGCCACCUCCACAGAACCCUCCUCAUCCACCCGAGAACUCUUCCUCACCUGACCUAAAGCUCUUCAUUUCAUACCACCUUUCAAGCGAAUUAAGGAUUAAUUGCCAGCAGCAAUCUCUGUCUUUGUUUGUUUUCUCUAAUGGAAAACCUUUCUCUCGGGAGGGUAAGGUUAUCAGUCAUUCACAGCUCAGUUGUGCUGUGUUUGAUUAGACUGGACGGCAAAGCUGAGUCCUGUUUCGGCUCUGUGCGAUCCUGGGCCCCUUGGAGCCUGUUUUCUCAUCUAUGAAAUGGGAGUAAUAAUAGUGCUUAUUGCACAGUUGUUUUAAGAACUAAAAAUUUAAAUUGCCUAGAAUGUUAUACAAACAUAAGCUGCCAUAUUUUGGAAAAAUGAGCCAAGAUCAGUGGUGCCAAGGGAAGAAUGGGCAGAGGUGAGCUGUGGGCAGCCGUGGAGGAUGGUCCACGGUGUGGCUGCCAGAGGGCAUCGGGGGCCAGGCAACUCCAGAAAGGAGCUAGGAAUGUUAGAGAAAACUGCACUAACAGCCAGCAUGCGUGAAGAACUGAUUCAUACUACACCGUGGAUGAACCUCAAGAACAUUAUUCUCGGCAAAAGCAGACAGACACAAAAGGUCACAUAGCAAAUGCUUCCGUUGAUAUGAAAUGUCCAGCACUGGCAAAUCCACAGAGACAGAAAGUAGAUUAGUAAUAGCCAGCGGCUGCAGACAGGGAAGGAGGGGAGUGAUGACUUAAUGGGUACAGGGAUUUUAUUUUGGGGUAAUGAAGAUAUUUUGGAAUGAGACAGAGCUGGUGGCUGCAUAGAGCACUAUGAAAGUGCUAAUUGCCAUUGAAUUAUUCACUUCAAAACAGUUAAUUUAACGCUAUGUGAAUUUCACCUCAAUAAAAAAGGUACAAAAUAAAAA
rnacentral:lncRNA from 1 species